AACGUCCCUACACUAGUGGUGUUCUGACAAUUUAAAACGUUCACACAUGCUAGACACUCUGGAUGACGUCACUGAGGAUCCGGAUAUGAAGAAAACGGAAUUCAAAGAUAAACAAAUAAUUCCCAGUGCAGGAUGUUUGUGCGUAAGUGUUGAUCCUGAGAGGUGCGUGUGUGUGCUUCUUACGCCCUGCUUCACGCUGUGGCUCGCGCUGUGCUUCACGUUGUGGCUCGCGAUGUGCUUCAUGUCGUGGCUCGCGCUGUGCUUCACGUUGUGGCUCGCGCUGUGCUUCACAUUGUGGCUCGCGCUGUGCUUCACGCUGUGACUCGCGCUAGGCUAUACCUGACAUGAUUUACGCUUUGAUUUGCCCUGCUUCACGCUGUACGUUACAGUGACUCACUGCUGUGUAACGAGUCAUACCACUGUGAUUCGUUACAGUGACAAUGGGACAUCACAUACAAUCUCGCGAGCCGCUACCAAUUUUUUAGUACAUCAGUUUUUGACCUUAGAGCGAAAUUAUACUGCAAAAUUAAGAUAAGGGAUAGGAGGAGUGGCUUGGCAAAAAUGUAAAAACAUCAAUGCUAUGUACUCUCAUAAACCCAAUGUACCUUGUUGUAUAUAUAUCAAUAAAUAAAUAAAUAAGGAAGAGAGAGGUGAGGGACUGAGAAUUUUAUCGCAGUGUCUUCGCGAUAAUUAGCACGUCGGCCCCACCCCCAAACUUAUUAUAAAUUAAUAAUUAUAUUAUAUAGAGCAACGAUGCGUAUUCGUACUUUUCAUGACGAAAUAUGGCGAUUAAUCAGAGUCCUAUCAUAUAAUACGUUCCCCCUUUUUUUUUACAAAGUCGAUCAAUCCGUUCAAAAUCUAACCCAUUAGUUACAAUUAAAGCACCAUAAUAUUGGUGUUUUCUAUCCGUCGGCCUCGAUGGGUUAGGUGGGUUGCUUGUUUACGUAUGUUUCUGAUUAGGGAAACCGGUUAUAUUUUUACAUUUGUGAUUAGGCAAACAGUUGCAGUUUUGACGUAUAUGGUUAGCCAAAAUAGUUGCCGGAAUAGGCUGGAAACAAAAACAUGAUGCAACUCUGAAAUGCGAAAAUAUUCCUAAAAAUAAAGAAAUUUUUGUGUUGAGUCACAACAGGGAUCAGAUGGAAGGAGAAUAAUGAAAACAGUGAUAAAGGAGUAAGAUGGACAACAGUGAAGAGACAAGGACAACACGGGCUGCUGGAUGAUCAACAAUUAUAAAUUAAGGUACAAGAGGAUGGUAUAGGAGGACUAUAAAGAACCAGACCUCACUUCCCCGUAGACAUUUAGACAUUAUAAGCGCGAAUUCCUCACUGGGGCAAGAUUAAGCGACUCCCAGGAGAUGGAGACGCCACUGGAGAAAGCCUUCAGGAAGAUUAACAUCAUCUCAUUAUACAUAAGAAAAAUGUAAGGAAAUAUAAGGUAACACAAUCAAAGAAAACGGUGAGCGUGUAAGAGGAAGAGAAGUGACGGUGUGACGUCAUCACAACACUGUUCCGAACCUUAAUGGAAUCUGACCCAUAUAUCAAUCAGGUCAACCCAUGUGUUGCGUUGACAAAAGGGUCGCCCAUGUUAGAAUCGGUGAACGCCCUAGUAAUA
rnacentral:lncRNA from 1 species